GCUGGUUGGCCUUCAUUUCUGCAGAAAGGACUUUCAAAUGUACUUUCGUGCUUAAGAACCAGCACUGUCCUGGUGAAAUUCCUCUUGAACAUGCUCCUGUUCUUCUGAGUCGGUGCUUCAGGCACAGAUGAGCUCAGCAGUUACUGUAAAAUAAAAUGAGCCUGCUAAAUAAGUCAAGACCG